AAGAAGCUCCCAGCGGGAGGCAGGCGGUCUGGCCUGUCUAGGAGAGGGCUGGUUUUGGGGCGCUCUUAGCAACAGCCCUGGUUUGACCCUCCUUAGCCGUGAGAAAAUCAAAUCCAGGGCGCCUUGCUUCCAAUCUCCUGCACCAUCCGCGGCGUAAUGUUGAGACAUCCUUUCUCCCGCCUGUUAAUUACCUGCUCUGGGCAUCUCUAGCAAAGUGCUGCUGAGAGCGGAAGCAAGCAACCAUCGCCCACCACCCACCGUCUGUCUGGGGGCUUAUGCUCACGAAUGAGUCCCAUGUACAUCAUCCGGUCUGCCUGACAGGCAGGACUGAGAAAGGGGGGUUCCAGCCCCCCGUGGGCUGGCCAGGGCUUUAUUCUAGAGUCCAGAGCGGCGCGUGGCUGCGCUUUUCUUUCCCGUUUGUAGGUGAAACCCCAUUGGCUUCAUUGGCUCCUUGAUUUUAAACCACGCCCGGCUUUCUGCCCGCUUUGCUGCUGCUGGGUUCGGCCUCCCUGCCACAUCCCAGCCGGGUUCUCAGGAAACCCGGGGGCUCCUGUGGCUGCUAUUGUGUGGAUGCCGCGUGUGUCCUCUCUUCUCUUCCAGAGAUGGCUAACAGGGGUCCGAGCUAUGGCUUAAGCCGAGAGGUGCAGGAGAAGAUUGAGCAGAAGUAUGACGCGGAUCUGGAGAACAAGCUGGUGGACUGGAUCAUCCUGCAGUGUGCUGAGGAUAUAGAGCACCCGCCCCCGGGCAGGGCCCAUUUUCAGAAAUGGUUGAUGGACGGGACGGUCCUGUGCAAGCUGAUAAACAGUUUAUAUCCACCAGGGCAAGAACCCAUCCCCAAGAUCUCAGAGUCAAAGAUGGCUUUUAAGCAGAUGGAGCAAAUCUCUCAGUUCCUGAAAGCUGCCGAGGUCUAUGGUGUCAGGACCACUGACAUUUUUCAAACAGUGGAUCUCUGGGAAGGCUUGGCUUUCAUCUCUUAACUGAAUUCCAGGGAAGGACAUGGCAGCUGUGCAGAGGACUCUGAUGGCCUUGGGCAGUGUUGCAGUUACCAAGGAUGAUGGCUGCUACCGGGGAGAGCCAUCCUGGUUUCACAGGAAAGCCCAGCAGAAUCGGAGAGGAUUUUCAGAGGAGCAACUUCGCCAGGGACAGAAUGUCAUAGGCCUGCAGAUGGGCAGCAACAAGGGUGCCUCCCAGGCGGGCAUGACGGGGUACGGGAUGCCCAGGCAGAUCAUGUAAGAUGCUGUAUAGUGAGUGCCCCCUGGUAGAGAGGACGGAUGUUCCGCACCACAGCCCGUGACAAAGAAAUAGGUAGUCACCUGCUCACCUUCUCCUCUUUCUUGAAGCCUUCUGUCCCCUGUCCUUGCAAGUGCUGCAUUUCUGCUCAGACUCCACGCUGCCUACUGCUGCCUACUGCUGCCACCUUCUGUUCCUUUAGAACUAUGCAAAGACUCCCUUUCCUCUCUGACCUCCUGUGCCCUAAGGUCUUGGUUUGUUUGAUUAUUUAUUUAUUUAUUUGCCAAAAAGUUUCUCUCCUUGACUCACAGAACGUAUCCUAAUAAACAAAUUAGUCUGUGUU